AGCUUACUGGUCUCUAGUCCUUGAGCAACUCCUGUCCUGAUCAGCCCUCGGUUGCUCCAAUACAUGGCUCAUCUCUGUAAUCCCUGGUCCCGCUCCUGGUUGUAUCUACUAGGCUGGACUCCCUUGUGGACUGUGACUGGGACAUGCCUGGACCCAGAGCAAAGCUGUUUACUUCUAACCCU